rnacentral:rRNA from 1 species
UACGGAGGGUGCGAGCGUUGUCCGGAAUCACUGGGCGUAAAGGGCGCGUAGGUGGCUUAGAAAGCGUGUGGUGAAAGCCCGGGGCUUAACCCCGGGUCUGCCGUGCGAACUGGUGGGCUUGAGCACUGUAGAGGCAGGCGGAAUUCCGGGUGUAGCGGUGGAAUGCGUAGAGAUCCGGAAGAACACCGGUGGCGAAGGCGGCCUGCUGGGCAGUAGCUGACACUGAGGCGCGACAGCGUGGGGAGCAAACAGG